rnacentral:rRNA from 1 species
CCUACGGGCGGCAGCAGUGGGGAAUAUUGGGCAAUGGGCGCAAGCCUGACCCAGCAACGCCGCGUGAAGGAAGAAGGCUUUCGGGUUGUAAACUUCUUUUGUCAGGGAAGAGUAGAAGACGGUACCUGACGAAUAAGCCACGGCUAACUACGUGCCAGCAGCCGCGGUAUUACGUAGGUGGCAAGCGUUGUCCGGAUUUACUGGGUGUAAAGGGCGUGUAGCCGGGUUGACAAGUCAGAUGUGAAAUCCUGCGGCUUAACCGCAGAACUGCAUUUGAAACUGUUGAUCUUGAGUACUGGAGAGGCAGAUGGAAGUCCUAGUGUAGCGGUGAAAUGCGUAGAUAUUAGGAGGAACACCAGUGGCGAAGGCGGUCUGCUGGACAGCAACUGACGGUGAGGCGCGAAAGCGUGGGGAGCAAACAGGAUUAGAUACCCGGGUAGUC